rnacentral:rRNA from 1 species
UACAGAGGGUGCGAGCGUUAAUCGGAAUUACUGGGCGUAAAGCGCGCGUAGGCGGCUUUUCAAGUCGAUUGUGAAAUCCCCGGGCUUAACCUGGGAACUGCAGUCGAGACUGUCUAGCUAGAGUAUGGGAGAGGGAAGUGGAAUUCCAGGUGUAGCGGUGAAAUGCGUAGAUAUCUGGAGGAACACCGGUGGCGAAGGCGGCAUCCUGGACCGACACUGACACUGAGGAGCGAAAGCCAGGGGAGCAAACGGG